UAGAGUUUGAUCAUGGCUCAGAAUGAACGCUGGCGGCGUGCUUAACACAUGCAAGUCGUACGCGAAAGGCGCUUUCGGGUGCCGAGUAGAGUGGCGCACGGGUGAGUAACGCGUGGGUAAUCUACCCUUGGAUCUUGGAUAACAUAUCGAAAGGUGUGCUAAUACGGGAUGAAGUCUUGCUGGAUGAGUUUGGUGAGAUGAAAGGCCGCGCAAGCGGUUGUCCGAGGAUGAGCCUGCGUCCCAUUAGUUAGUUGGCGGGGUAAAGGCCCACCAAGACUGAGAUGGGUAGCUGGUCUGAGAGGAUGAUCAGCCACACUGGAACUGGAACACGGCCCAGACUCCUACGGGAGG
rnacentral:rRNA from 1 species